GCAUUGGUAGUGUAACGGUUAUCAUUGGGUCUUCCCAGUUUAAGAUGGCCUAGAUCUGGGUUCGACUCCCGGCCAAUGCA